UGGGGAAUUUUGGACAAUGGGGGAAACCCUGAUCCAGCCAUCCCGCGUGUGCGAUGAAGGCCUUCGGGUUGUAAAGCACUUUUGGCAGGAAAGAAACGUCAUGGGUUAAUACCCCGUGAAACUGACGGUACCUGCAGAAUAAGCACCGGCUAACUACGUGCCAGCAGCCGCGGUAAUACGUAGGGUGCAAGCGUUAAUCGGAAUUACUGGGCGUAAAGCGUGCGCAGGCGGUUCGGAAAGGAAGAUGUGAAAUCCCAGAGCUCAACUUUGGAACUGCAUUUUUAACUACCGGGCUAGAGUGUGUCAGAGGGAGGUGGAAUUCCGCGUGUAGCAGUGAAAUGCGUAGAUAUGCGGAGGAACACCGAUGGCGAAGGCAGCCUCCAGGGAUAACACUGACGCUCAUGCACGAAAGCGUGGGGAGCAAACAGG
rnacentral:rRNA from 1 species